CUCAACUUUCAUCUCUUCUCUGCAUCCACCAACACUUCUCUACAUCUUCUCUCUAACUUUAAACAAAUUAAAUCUAAUUUCUCUCGAUUCUUAUCUUCUUUGAAGUUAAAACAUAAUUUUUCUCUCAAUUUUCAUCUCCGUUAAAGCAACUGAACUCUAAAAUUUUUAAGAUGGCCCACUUAAUAAUAGAAGAUAAAGCUAUGGUCAUGGAAUAUCAAGCGACUCUGAUGGAAGAAGAAUAUGAAAGGCACAUCAUGAUGAACGACUCAGAGACACUUAAUAAAGUGGUCAUUUCCUUAGUGCAAUUCUUGUUGCUAUUAAUUAUCUUCCAUAUACUGAAGAUAUCAUCAUAUGCUGGAAAAUUCAUGGUAGAAUAUGAAACUGCUGUGUCUUUCUUGGUCAUCGCUAUUGUUUUAAUUUUUCAAAUAUUGCUAAUUAUUAAACUAGCAAAAUAUUCGUGUUGCAUGGGUCCCCGUCGUCGCGUGUAAUUUGAAAAAAUUAACAUUUUUUAUGCAUUAGGGGCAAAAAAAUAAAUGUAUAUGUUCGUUUCCAA